GUCUACAGCCAUGCUACCCUGAACAAGCCCGAUCUCAUCUGAUCUCAGAAGCUAAGCAGGGUUGGGCCUGGUUAGUACUUGGAUGGGAGACCACUUAGGAAGACCAGGUGCUGUAGGUA
rnacentral:rRNA from 1 species